UCUUUUGUUUUUUGUUUUUUUUUUUUUGUGUUUUGUUUUCUUUUUUCCUAAAACAAACCUACAAAAUUGAGAAAAAAUGCACAUUAAAAUGUAAAUAAAUAAAUAAAUUAUUAAAUAAAAAAAUCAAGAAAAUAUUAAAAUUUGACAAAAAUUUGGUAUCUACACAAAUACACAAAUGAACAAAAUUUCCAUGAUCCAACCACAUUAUCUGUUGUACUUGAGACAGAGGAGAAAACACAUGCUUCUUGGAAAACAAAUUCCUUGCGAACAUAAUGCAGAAAAUGACAAAUGACAUUCUUAAAAACAAAUAUCUUGCCAAACAUUAAGCAGAAAACAACUUUCCGCAAAUACAGAUGUGCACGUAUCUAUGUGAUUAUACAUUUUUUCACACAUACAAAUGGCCAUGCUAAUUUCCAAUAACACAACUGCUACCUUGUUUCCUGCACUAGCAAGUCCGCCAAACCUCACAUUCAAAAAUUUAACAAUCAAAACCAGCAAGAACAUGACUCGUACUUUCCAUAAUCAGCUGCAAAACUUCUACUUAAAAAUGCAUAACCAAAAAAUUAGCACUAAAGCCAAAACUAAACUAAAAUCUACAAAACUAAAUACAGAAUCAGCACCAAACAGCUUCACUUACACACCAAACCACACCAAUUAACUAAGAACUAGGCAUAAAUUCAUCAAAAAUUUAACAUAAUAACUAAAACUAGAUAAGCCCAGAAAAAACAAACGAAAAAACCAGUAUCUUUAUAUACCAAAAGUCCAAUCUUGAAGCAAUGAACAGCUAGGUAAUUGAGGUAAACAUGGACAGAAACCAGAAAACCCAAGACCUGACAUGUAAUUUUUAAACAGAUGACAAUUAGACUUGAACGAGGAAAGUGGAGCGGGCGCUGCCAUGAGGCUGGAAAAAGGGGGUCAGAAGAAUUGGCGUCGUUGUUAUUGAUUGAAGAGGGUUCAAAAUGAGGACCAUGCACUCUGCUGCUGCCACAGCUUCCACCUCCAGGUCUUAAGCUUAUCACUGUCUGAUCAGCCUGCACAUCUCAAUCAAAAGCAAUCUUCGCCGUACAAAUUUUUUGAAUCGAAAAGACUCAAAAUUUUAGAAGUAGACGCUAGAGGGAGUUUGCAAUUGUAAGGUUUAGAUUUUCAGCCGCUUAUUUGUGUUGCAAGUAGCCAAGAACUAACUGAAAUUACCUAUAACCGUUUUACUUUCCUGCCAAGAUUCAAUCUCUGCGCUUGAACAACAAAAGACAUACUUUGCAAACACAGACAAUUACCAUUUCUAAUGUUAAAUGUCCGUGUUGCUAGUCAAAGAAAGACAUAUCAAACGUGGCUUUUCCAUAAACAAAGAAAUUACAUUACAGGGAAUACUUUAUUCAGUCAUAUGACACAAUGAUCUUUCAAGAUUUGCCUGGCAAGAUCAAUUGCUCCACUUUUCUUGUAGAUCAGGUGCAAAUUGUAAGCUGCUUCCCGACGAAGAUCACAGUAACCUGGCUUUGGAGAAGCCAGACCAUCUGGUUUCUCAUUUGGAAGGUUCGGCAUGGGGCAAUCACUUUCAUGCAUUGUAAGAACCUUUUCAUAGUUUACAGCAGCAAGAGAAACAAGACCGACAUGAUGAUAUGCACGAGCUAUAUUAUACAGUGCUUCCUGACCAUAUCUGCAAAGCUGUAAAUUAUUGAAAAGAAAUGCCAAUCCUUGUACCACAGACUGAUGUUUGUUUUGAAGUCUGUGACCCAGGGCCAAGUUUAUCAAUGCAGUUCCAGCACAGAGAUUGAUCAAGGGAAUAUCUGGCAUCAGCUUGUGAGCUUCCAAAUAUUCCCGAACAGCUGCUUGAUGCUGGCUGAUCAUGGUAAACUGGUGCCCAAAAAUGAGAGUGAGUGGUACACAACUUUUGUGCUUGGUUCGCAUGGUGUGCAAAAACUUGUUAUGCUUUGAAUAUCGACUGUCCAGUUUUGAGAUUACUUUGUAAUAGCAGUUCCAUGCAGAAAAGCUAUAAGGACGUUGAUUAACAAUAUAGCGUGCGUAGUCAAAGCCGUGAGCAGGAUCAGCAAUAUUGUAUGCUAUUUGGGCUCCCAGAGUUCUAAGCUCUUCAUUCCUUUCAACAGACAAAACAUUGGAGGCCAAUUUCAGAGUUAAAUUGAUGAUUUCCAAUGCUUCCCAAUACUUUUUCAAGGAUAACAGUGAUUUGCAUAAUUCUAUAAUGAGAUAAUGAUGUUCCGCAUCUCUUAGAAGGUUUGGAAGAGGAAGCUCUCUUGGUGCUUGUUGAGGAGAUUCAUCCUCUGAAUCAUCACUUAUCCACUCUAUUCCAGCGGCCAAAGCAGCAGCUCUUUUUGCUUCCUUCUUUUUUAGUAACUUUUUUGCUCUGGACGCUCUAGACAGAUCUGAUGCUGAAGCUACAGGUCUAAAUCCAUGGAACACAGUAUCAGUCCUAACAUGAUCAAGUAUUUUUAUCCGUUCAGAAAGAACACUUUUUGAUAGCCUCUUCCUUGGCCUGACCUUUUGUUGUAUAGUCUCAAGAAACAAUGUCUCUCGAACUACAGGAAAAAUUACAUCUACAAAUGCCUCCAACAAUCCUUUAGCUUUAUAGAUUUGAGAAAGCCUCAACUUUAUCUUCCCAUUAAGCCACCAUGGUUUUGCUGCAUUUAGGUUCAAGUUAAAUAGUGAUUCUGAUUCUUUAGGAGGACAGAGAACAGAAAUGGCUUCAUCAUCUUUAUUUUCUUCAAGAAGAAGUGAUGACAAAGCCAGCCGAGCAUCAACAGUAUUCUCAAGUUUGUCUAAAGCUCUGUAGAAGUAAUCAAUUGAUUGCAAUCGUUUCCCCAGACAACUGCAACACUCAGCAAUUUUCAGAUACAGGCAACUAUUGUUCUUGACAUCAUCUCCUACCAACAUCAUAUAGUAUUCUAGUGCAGAUUCGUAAUGCCCGUGAUUCAUUAGUGAAUCUCCAAUCUCAAUAAUCAACUGGGGAUGAUCAUGUAAAUUCUCAUGUCUCAAAACAUUCAAAAGAGCUUCUGCUUUUACAAAGUUUCCAAGGUGAAUAUGACAUAUUCCAGCUUUUGUACGCAGACAUAAUGGCAUCUCUUUCCCAGUGCAGUAAACCUGCUGUGCAUGCUCAAUAUGCUCGAGGGCUUUUUUAUGUGCAUUGCCUUCCAUGUGUAGUGAAGCCAAUAUAUCAACCACAUUUAAAUCAGGUUCCUUGCAACAAUUUCUGAGAUAGCUUUCCAGUAUUCUGACUGCAAGCUCAGAUUGGCCAGAUUUUUUAUACAGCUGGGCCGCAGUCUGUAGUACGUUUACAUUGUCAGGGCAGAGCUGAGAAAUUUGCUCAUAUGAAUCAGCAGCUUUCAAAUAAUCACCCAACUCAACAUAAAGGGAUGCACGGUGAAACCGCAAAUUGAUAUCUUCCGGAUCUGCUGUUAUUGCUUUAGAAAGGCAGUACCUGGCUUGUCCUGUAUCACCUUGUUCUAUGGACCAUGUCACAAGCAGCUUCCAAAAAGAUGCAUCCUUUGGGGUUAAAUGGGCAGCAAUCAUGUAGAAAUCCAAGGCUCUCUUCUUAUCACCCAUCUCAUUAUAGAUGAGCCCCAGCCUAUGAUAUGGAUCAGGAAGAUUGGGAGAAAGACGAAUCACUUCGUAAAACACACCUAUGGCCUACAAGCUCAGAAAAUCUACAAUGAACAAGAAAAUUGAUAACCAAAAACAAUAACCAUUAUAGACAUUGUCCUUCUAAAGAUUCCAAGCACACAACCAGAAAAUGCCCAAGUCAAAAUGAGAUUCCCACCAGUUCUAAUUAACAGAAAGUGCUAUGUGAAGACAAAAAGUGACCAUCGUAUUCAAUUUCUCAAAAAGUUCGAGUAAAACUUCAUAAGAAAUAACUCGGCAUUUACUGAACUUGUACUGUUACUUCACUGUGCCUAAACGAAAAACUAGAUAUGCUAUUUUUGACAACCAUUAUAACUAGAUCCUCAAUACAAAAGGUCUGACUUAGCAGCAAGACUUAAUUGUUUCUCAUAUCCAGAACAAAGUCAAUGCAUUCAAACUGAAAGAAAUUUAUUCACUCAAAGGAGAGGACCAACACUUUGCAAAGCAGGCUAACAAAGUGAAUGGAUCUCUAAUUUUGCAUUCCUUAUGAAGAAUAAGUUCUUCAGCCAACAUCAUUGUGGAUGCUCAUGAAUAACAAAAUGCAAGAUAUCCAGUCAAAGCAAAUGGUAAACAAACUGAAAUUUACCCAAAAGAGAGACAAUUAAGGAAUGGUCACCACCAUGCCUUCCAUAGCAGUAAGGCGCACGGGUAUAGUUAAAACCAAAUGGUAAAUCAAGUAAAGAUCACCCUACAGACUGACAAAUAAGGCACGCUAAGGCCCUACCUCUCCAUAGCGACCAUGGGCAUAAUGAAGAGUAGCAUCACCAAGUUUUCGAGUCACUUCAGGACUGACUUUAUUCCUUGAUCCCUUUCGUCGACCUCUUCUCUUGGGCUGCACAAGGUAAAAAACAAACAGUUUGCGACAUGUCCCAAAACCAAAAAAAUAGGGUAGCAUAAAACUUCAGAAGAUAAUGCAACAAAAAAAAACCUUAAAAACCUAAAUAUGAGUCCAACCAAUUUUAUGUGUCUGCAAAGCCAAAAAAAAAUGUUAUGAACCAAGAAAAAAAAGAUCAAGAAUGUGAAUGUUGCUCUCAAAUUUCUUUUCCUCAGUCUUUGCCUCAAGCUGGGUAUCUCGCUAAGGUGUCGGGCUGCUUGGCAGGAAAAACAAGAGCAAGAUAGCUUCUUAGAAAGGUCUCCUAAAGAUUAAAAUGGUUUUAGCAACCAUCACCAUCUUGAAACACUGUCAAAUUGCUCAAAUAAAGAUGGAUACAAAAGUUACUUGCACUAGUCUGAGUUGUGACUUUCAAUUUGGUAGAAACAAGGUCCAGUGAUAUUUUUGUUUUGGGUGUUGAUAAUGAAUUAGAGUGAGUCCCAAAAGACUUGGUACGAGCUAGUGUGCUCUUAUCGUGGUUUUCAUGGAUUAAUUCCUAUAUAUGCAUUAUGAAGAGACUUACAUAUGUCCACUCAAGACGUAUUAAAAUAAAUAAAUGAAGCAUAUGAAGACCAGAUGGUUUGAGGUGGCACCAGAAAAAGAAUAUGCUCCCCUAAAACACCCAGAAUAUAAACGUUAAGGUACUAAUUAUUCUAAGAAAUCUUUAUCAAUAGAAGUUUCCUUUCACGAUGGCAGCAAUGCUUAUAACUAAAAUACUUGAUGGAGAACAUGAGAGCCAAGCUGCUGGCCUUGUUCCUGCUGCUUUUGAUAUAUUGGUGACAGAUAUCAGACUACAUAUGUAGGGAAGCCGCUUGGCCUCAUUCUUGCUGGUUUCUCAAAAUCUUAAGCGUUACAGAAAUUGGACUAGAUUAUGUUUGUGCCACAGGUGAGCAAAAUGAGCAAGAACUAAAGAAAAUAAGUCCAUAGGUCCACGGCAAAAGUCACUCAACAGUUAAAGGAAUAUCUAUGGCUGAGAUUCCAUUAAUCUACAAUGUGAUCAAAGAAACCCAAAAAAAGGGAGCAUUAUCAAAUAUGGUAAGAUUGAACCCAAUCUAUUAAAACAGCUAUUCUCCAAUUAUCAUAUACUUGUAAAAGCUCUUUAAUAUAAGUGAAAAAGAACAAAGAAACGGCCAAAAAGGAGGGGGUCAUUUCACCAAAGAGGUUGCAAGGUCAAGAAAAAUCUUACUCAAAUUCAAAACUGGAAAAGGAACCAAUAAGAGUAAUUUUUCUCCCCAAAAAAUGAAAAAAAAAAAAAGGAACUAUAUUAAAGAGAAUUACCUGGGUGAAUCCAAAAUAUGGUUGCAUAGAUAUGACUUUGUAUUUUAUUGAACACAUUACAACAGUGAAACAACAUGAAAAGACACGUCCUUUUCGUCAACUGAAAGUUCUUACCUACAAGAUUGAAGCCUGAAAACUAAGCCUUUAGGUUUUGACAGUGCAUCUUGGCUAGUGCAAAAAGUUAAUCAUGGGUUGUAUUUUCAAUGCGAAAUUAUUUUUUUUAGUCAAUGCAUUCAUAAUAAAGCAUAUCUCCUCAUCAUGAAUACAGCACAAUGUUACAAGAAAAAAAACAUGAUUUUGAAAUUGUCUAGACUAGUAAACUUGAAGUCUUUCAACUUAGCCACAAGUUCAAGAGCAAAAAUUGUUGAAAACACAAAGCUAAGGUGGAAAAAAGUGACGAACAAGCAUGGAUACCAUACUUUCCUGGAUCUUCUUCUAGAGCCAUAAUUCAUGAGUUCCAUUAUUUCUUCCAUGGUUGCACCAGAAACAUCUUCUUGUUGUUGCCGUGGUUUUUUAGCUACAGGUACUUCCCUGCCACACCACCAAUGAAAGAAACGAAAAGAACAUUAUAUCAGCAGAGCAUUGAGCAAAAAAGUUAGAAACUUGAGGAAUAGAAAAAACUUUUAAGGGGAUUCCAAUGGGAAGUAUUAAAUCACAUGCCAAAAAAAUCAGUUUUUCUUCUUUAGGUACAUAAGAAAACAUUAAUUCCGUGAUGUGCAAAAAAAUUACAAUGAGAACAGACAGUUUCACAAUGGUUCAAUUGUUUUCAGUGAGUAGAUACCACCUUACUGAUACUAAAAAUUGACAUAGGAGACUCAAACAAAGCGACAUUUACUCUCUACCUCCCUAGGGCAGGCCAUCUAAGAGACCCAGCAAUGCCAUGGCAAUAUCAGGUUUUGGCUGGAGACAAAAGAAUGCCAAAUCGCCAUUACCACCCACUCAAAAUUGGAAACUCGACAAGAUUCCAAAAAAUAAAGCAAUGAAGAAAAAGGCUAGAUCAUCUGAUCAAAGACAGUUAAUGAAGCUGUUAAGAGUAACCAGGUAGCACAUUCAAAAUAAAACAAGAUACAGAAACAACAAAGCCAAACUGCAAAUAUAUAUAAUGCCAGUGUGAGUGAAAAAAUAAUAAUAAUAAUAAUAACAACAAUUAGAGAAGCAAUCUUUUAUAACCUCAGCAAAAGCAACAGCCGGAUGACUUGAUUGUUUCCAAAAUUUAUUAAACGUGUCUUGUUGAAGCAGACACAACACAAUUUGCAUGAAGCUCUUGAUAGGAAACAAACAAUGAAUUUUCAAUCAAAAUCACAAUAACGAGAAGACGGAACCAAAUAAGGGCAACCUACGUUGUAAAAAUUUGAAAGAAUUAGUAGCGCUAAUAGAGAAGCUAUCUUUUUCCUCUGGUUUUAUUAGCAAUACUCAUUCAAAGGACUUGAAGAAAUAGUGCAAGUUGCUUUUGAUUAGCAAAUAGUCAGAAGGAGGGAGGGAGGGUACCCUUGGGGUAUGGGUUGGAGACGGGCCUUGCGCUUUUUGGCAGCCAAAGCUUCGUAGUGGUGCUCCAGGCGCUGGAAUUGCUCGUAAGGCUGGAGCCCAGAUGCGUCCUCUUUGGUAAAAGCCAGAGGAUCCAUGUCAUCACUGAACCUGAAUUUAUACCCUUCUUCCUCUUCAUCCUCAUCAUCAUCAUCUUCUUCUUCUCCUUCGAUAUUAGCCGUAGUGUUAGCAGUAGUAGUACCUUUUCCUUCAUCAUCGACUUCACGUUCUUCUUCUUCCAAUUGUGAUUCCAAUUCCAUAGGAUGCUCAUCUGCAUGGAACUCACUGCUGCUACCUAUAACCCCAGCACCCUCUCCCUCUUCCAACUCCUCCAUUCUGCUCUCCACCCAAUCGCUAAUUGAACUCUGCAAAUGAAAGCCAAAAGAAUUACUCUUAGGGUGCGUUUGGUUCUGCAGAAUUGGAAUUGAAUUAAAAUUGAAAUUCUAUAGAAUUGGAAUUCUAUGAAUUAUAAUUCCAAAUCAUUGCAAUUCUUUCGUUUGGAAAAUGCAUAGAAUUGAUAUGAAAUUCGUUUGGAAUUCCAAAUUCUUUGUUUGCAUGAGAGAAUAAUUCAUUAAGAAUUAGAAUUGUUUUCAUGAAACAUUUGCUUACAGAAAAUUUUUCUUUUUCCUUUACUAUAUAAUAUUUUUUUAAUAUUUAGCUAAUUGUUACUAAAGCUUUAAGGAAAAAACCAAUUUGUACCUUUAAUAAUUUAUUUUUUCUUGCAUUUAGCUAAUUGUUACUCAAGCUUUAAAGAAAAAAAAUUAGUUACUUUUCUUCAAAAAAAAUAUUAUUCUUGUUUCUUUUCUUCUUAAUUAAAUUAUAUUAAAUAAAAAAUAACUAUAUAUUCUAACUUAAAAAGUAAUUAAUAUUUAUCAAGUUAAAACCUUGAUACUUUUUAUAAAGCUAAGAACUUUAAAUUUUAGAAAAUCAAAAGCCUACUCUAUGAUAUUAAUUGGGAAGGAAAGUCAUAGCUUGUGCCUAUUAUAAAAAUUUGAGUUUUGUAUCUUACAAGAAAUUCCAAUAGAUGAAUAUGCAAACAAAGUGACUUUAGCAAAAUAGAGAGAGAGAGAGAGAGAGAGAGAGAAGCACAAUUAUACAUUGCUACUAUUCUUCAAUAAAUGGCCAUUCUAAUAUUAAAUUAAGUCCGAAUAAGUUCCUAUCAAAUUUCAAGGCUAAGAAUGAUUUUGGCUAAUUAGUGUAUUAAAAAUGCUCACAGUAAACAACUGCAACCACAUGUAGUAUUGGUGAAACAGUGACAUCCAUUUUAAUUUUCUUUCUGAAUUGUCAAAAACAAUUUAAUUGGAUGAAUGACAAUAAAUUAGAAUAAAAAAGGCACAGAGCAACAUUUUAUUAUUAUUAUUAUUAAUUGUCUCUUCCAUUUACACACGAGACAGCAUCAUAAUGACAUAUUAUCCCAAUUCCAUACGAGUUUACAAAGCCUGCUGGCAUACAUAACAUAAAGGUAACACCUAGUUCACACAGGCCCUGUGGUCUGCUGAGCCCUGGAAUAGCUUGAUACAGAAACAACAUUAUUCAGUAUCAUAUCUCAUUUGCAUCCA
rnacentral:lncRNA from 1 species